CACUGAAAAAACGAACUUGGUGGUGUAGUAAAAUAUACUAAUUAAACUGUCCUGAUGUCUACAAUUAAAUUUUUCGUUUCUGCGGGAACUAGAUUUUGUCAAGUAAAAUUACAUAGUGCGUUUGAAUCAGCGCAUGCGCAUUGGGACAAACGAAAGUACCGCGCAGAUGUCCAUUGUCCGUCCGUUCGUUGGCAGCAGACAGAGUUGUGAAUAUCUCCGGAAUCUCUCAGGCGACUGUUUUUGUAUUUAGCCGGCUGGGACAUGAGGUGACCAGAGAGAGUCAGGAGCGCUGGGCUGUUCAGUGACUAAUCAAAUACUGCACCGUUGUGAUUAGAGCAAAGCUUCAUGUACAAACUAGACCACUAUACACCAAAGCUUACUGCCCUGAUGAAAGCCAAGGGAGGUGUUGGAGGCAGGCUGAGGCCCCAUCUGGAUAAACUGAGUCAGAACCCGAGCACUGACAUGUGACGUGACGCAGUUAUCAGUGGCCUCAUACUAUUCCUUGGUGAAAAAGAAGAGAAACUUUUCGAAGAUUGCCUGGACAAUCGCAGUGAUGCCACUCAACACAUAGUCAAGAUCCUGGUUGUCCAUGGUACUGAUGGAGAAGAACCAGUAGAUGUUUCCAUCAUUCUUGAAGGGAAGGAGGUAUUGACACGAUGCAACAGCACAGCCAAAGCUUGCACGUUGCUAAUGGGACUGAUUUAUUCCCUGAACCUUGCCUACCCCUGGACUCUGCGCUACACCUUUGAGGUGUUUCAAAAACUUUUCCUGGAACUGAAUGGGAUAAAGCUGUCACCAAAAGUACAUCUUUAAAGUUGAAGUUGCUGUCUGAAAGGAGUUUUCUUUCUUAAAUGUUCCUAAUGUUGUCAACAAAGGCAACUGCUGUCAUUCAUGCUCACAAGGUAAAAAAAAAGUUAAAAAUAACCUUUGUUUUAAAGGUUUUAACAGAGGAUUUGAUGUUGUCCUCAAACUUUAAUGUUUUAACCGAAUGCUAAUAUAAAUAUGUUAAUGGAUGUUGCGGUUUAGAAUGUUGUUCAUGUCAGUACAGCAUAUUUUGUCAGGUCAAACCCUCAAUCUGUUUUGUCACCUGAUGUGCCCUGUUUAGUUUAAUGCGUCCAGGAGUCAAAAACAUUUUGAUUUUCCAGUGAUAUGCUUUUUUUCUGUAUAGCGUAAUGAUCACUCAGUAAAGGUAAACUUUUUUCUUUAUUGAUGCUUGAUUGAUGCUUUAUUGAUUUACUGCUGCUGAGAUUUCAUUUAAUUUUUUGUCAUGUGAAAUGUUGACUGCUGUUUCAUGUACAGUUCUACAUAGCUGUAUAAAAUGAGGUGUUACGUAAGGUACCUGACAAAGGUUUAUGAAUAAAUAAUGGAAUUGUAUUUUAGCCGUGUGAUUAUUAAUAGUAUUUGGUAAUAUUUAUCAAAAGAGAAUUUGCAACAUUUACAUAAAUGAAUUAGGUAAUAUAACUUCAAACAACCAAGUAAUUAAAAUGAUCAAACAGGAUAAAAAGUACUUGAUAAUUUUACG
ensembl:lncRNA